GGGAGGGGAACAUGCUGGGACAGUAGUAAGAAGAGUUCUAGAAGGCUGGUAACAGAGGUGUCUGUAUGGAUGUAAGAAAGAACAAUCUCACCACAGUUUUCAGAUCCCUUCAGAGCUACAUUUGGGAUGGAGUUUGUGGCAUUUCUGCAAGUCAGAACAGACAGUUAAUCAGCUAAUUUCAAAUAACUUUGCGCAUCAUCACUGGCCAUUGACCAUCUUAAGCAGAGCUCAGAGAUGACAGAAUCACACAAAAUUUCCAUUUUGUAACUUAUGCUUGAGACCUGAAAUCCACCAUGAUCUCCUUCUAUUUCUCUUCCAAAGCUUGCAGAAAGACUGUCAAGCAAUAAAAGACUAAGAGACUGAUCA
rnacentral:lncRNA from 1 species